UACAGAGGGGGCUAGCGUUGUUCGGAAUUACUGGGCGUAAAGGGCGCGUAGGCGGGCUGCCGCGUCCGGGGUGAAAUCCUCCCGCUCAACGGGAGAACGGCCUCGAAUACUGGGAGGCCUCGAGGGCGGGUAGGGGCACGCGGGAACUGGUGGGUGGAGCGGUGAAAUGCGUUGAUAUCCACAGGAACUCCGGUGGCGAAGGCGGCGUGCUGGACCCGAUCUGACGCUGAGGCGCGAAAGCCAGGGGAGCAAACGGG
rnacentral:rRNA from 1 species